GACGAACGCUGGCGGCGUGCUUAACACAUGCAAGUCGAACGGUGAAGCGCCUUCCUUUUUGGUGGGUGUGGAUGAGUGGCGAACGGGUGAGUAACACGUGAGUAACCUGCCCCCUUCUUCUGGAUAACCGCAUGAAAGCGUGGCUAAUACGGGAUAUUCUGGGUCUGUCGCAUGAUGGGUCUGGGAAAGAUAUUGUUUCGGUGGGAGAUGGGCUCGCGGCCUAUCAGCUUGUUGGUGGGGUGAUGGCCUACCAAGGCGGUGACGGGUAGCCGGCCUGAGAGGGUGGACGGUCACACUGGGACUGAGACACGGCCCAGACUCCUACGGGAGGCAGCAGUGGGGAAUAUUGCACAAUGGGCGCAAGCCUGAUGCAGCGACGCCGCGUGAGGGAUGGAGGCCUUCGGGUUGUGAACCUCUUUCGCCAGUGAAGCAGGCCUGCCUCGUUUGUGGGUGGGUUGACGGUAGCUGGAUAAGAAGCGCCGGCUAACUACGUG
rnacentral:rRNA from 1 species